AAUAAGUGCAGUUUUACACUAUUCAUAUCCGACGUUUAACCGUUCGUCUUGUUUGAAAUUUGUUUAUGAUUAGUAUUUUUUUUGUUAUUAGAUGAUUACUUUAUGCGUGACUAUUUUUUUAUUUUUUUCAUAAAUAUUUUAAAUAAAACGGACACGAAAACCCAUGACUGCAUUUAUU
rnacentral:pre_miRNA from 1 species